AAUUAAUAAGUUAAAUAAGCAAAAAAUAUAUUUUGAAAAUAUAAUAAAGGAGUUUAAUUCUCCUAUUAACUU
rnacentral:tRNA from 1 species